CGUAGGGUGCAAGCGUUGUCCGGAAUUAUUGGGCGUAAAGAGCUCGUAGGCGGUUUGUUGCGUCGGCUGUGAAAUCCCGAGGCUCAACCUCGGGUCUGCAGUCGAUACGAGCAAACUAGAGUGUUGCAGGGGAGACUGGAAUUCCUGGUGUAGCGGUGAAAUGCGCAGAUAUCAGGAGGAACACCGGUGGCGAAGGCGGGUCUCUGGGCAACAACUGACGCUGAGGAGCGAAAGCGUGGGGAGCGAACAGGAUUAGAUACCCUGGUAGUCCACGCCGUAAACGUUGGGCGCUAGGUGUGAGGCUCAUUCCACGAGUUCCGUGCCGCAGCUAACGCAUUAAGCGCCCCGCCUGGGGAGUACGGCCGCAAGGCUA
rnacentral:rRNA from 1 species